rnacentral:other from 1 species
GAGUGUCUGCCAUGUUCGGCAGGGAGUUUGUUUGUUUGAACCGAUGAAGAAACCCUGGGAGGCCAGAACACAGCACCGGCGGACGCACCCGCCUUCGUAGCGGGCGGUCCUGGGUGCUGAUGGCCACCCACCUGAGUUAAGGGUUCUUCAAGCUCCUCCCACCGGCAUUGCGGCGGGCAUUC